rnacentral:tRNA from 2 species
CAGAAAAUAGUUUAUAUAAAAUAAUAACUUUGGAAGUUAUAGAACAACUAACAUUGUUUUUUGA